UAGGGAAUCUUCCACAAUGGACGCAAGUCUGAUGGAGCAACGCCGCGUGAGUGAAGAAGGUUUUCGGAUCGUAAAGCUCUGUUGUUGGUGAAGAAGGAUAGAGGUAGUAACUGGCCUUUAUUUGACGGUAAUCAACCAGAAAGUCACGGCUAACUACGUGCCAGCAGCCGCGGUAAUACGUAGGUGGCAAGCGUUGUCCGGAUUUAUUGGGCGUAAAGCGAGCGCAGGCGGAAGAAUAAGUCUGAUGUGAAAGCCCUCGGCUUAACCGAGGAACUGCAUCGUAAACUGUUUUUCUUGAGUGCAGAAGAGGAGAGUGGAAUUCCAUGUGUAGCGGUGGAUUGCGUAGAUAUAUGGAAGAACACCAGUGGCGAAGGCGACUCUCUGGUCUGCAACUGACGCUGAGGCUCGAAAGCAUGGGUAGCGAACAGG
rnacentral:rRNA from 1 species